GAUCUAUUUUUAAAUUGAAUAUUUAUUUUUAUUCAAAUAUAUUGAAAUUAAUAUGGAAACAAAAGUUCAUAAAUAUUAUUCUUAAUAACAAGAAUUGAGAUUUGGGCAUAAGUUUGAAAAGCCAUGUCAGAAGAGUAGGAUUAAAGACAAAGUAUUAAGAGUAAUUGGGCUGUUCCUGAACAAUAUUGAAUAUAAAUAUUCAAAAAUAUGAUAAACUGCAUAUCCUACUAAGUAGAUCAAUACCAAAAUUCCAUUAGAGAAAUAAGUUAAAAUUAUGUUUUACUUGUAUAAUUUUCUUGCUAUUUGUCCACCAUUAUUUGUGACUUAGAAAUUAAAUAGUCAAAAAGAA
rnacentral:lncRNA from 1 species